AUUGAACGCUGGCGGCGUGCUUAACACAUGCAAGUCGAGCGGCAGCGCGGGAGCAAUCCUGGCGGCGAGCGGCGAACGGGUGAGUAAUGCUUCGGAAUCUGCCCUUCAGUGGGGAAUAACCAGUCGAAAGACUGGCUAAUACCGCAUACGAACUGAGGUUGAAAGCAGGGGAUCGCAAGACCUUGCGCUGAUGGAUGAGCCGAAGUCGGAUUAGCUUGUUGGUGGGGUAAUGGCCCACCAAGGCGACGAUCCGUAGCUGGUCUGAGAGGAUGAUCAGCCACACUGGAACUGAGACACGGUCCAGACUCCUACGGGAGGCAGCAGUAGGGAAUAUUGGACAAUGGGCGCAAGCCUGAUCCAGCCAUGCCGCGUGAGUGAAGAAGGCCCUCGGGUUGUAAAGCUCUUUUGUCCGGAAAGAAAAGCGCCGGGUUAAUACCCUGGUGUCCUGACGGUACCGGAAGAAUAAGCACCGGCUAACUUCGUGCC
rnacentral:rRNA from 1 species